ACGCGAUGGUGACCGCUGCCGCCGGGGAACUCUCGUGUUAAAACUUAUUAUAUGUGCCGUAUUGGGAUGUAAUAAACGUCGGUUACUGGUUCAGGUGUUGGACAGUACUCACGCACUUAAGUUUUCCUUAAAUAGUGUAAGUGAAAUGUGUAUUAUGAAAGUUACGCGAGGAAGUAUUGAAGAUGCCGGAGUGGGCGGCGAGGAGCAUUAUAGCCAGACACCCAAGACGCUCCACCUCCUUGGCAGACUUAACACUCGCUCUAAUUAAGAAUUCCAGAUCGGGACAUCAUCCUCAGAGGAAGUUCUCAGGAGCAAGAGAGACGAGGCUCCUGGACACCGUGAAGGAUGGAGACAUCUUCGACAUGCUAUAAGGAAGUCCGGCAGCGAGGACUUGGCGAGCCAGGCGGCUGUUAAUGCACGCAUACCUGGAGGUCCAUGGUCACAACUCACACACAG